ACUCCUACGGGAGGCAGCAGUGGGGAAUUUUGGACAAUGGGGGAAACCCUGAUCCAGCCAUCCCGCGUGUAUGAUGAAGGCCUUCGGGUUGUAAAGUACUUUUGGCAGAGAAGAAAAGGUAUCUCCUAAUACGAGAUACUGCUGACGGUAUCUGCAGAAUAAGCACCGGCUAACUACGUGCCAGCAGCCGCGGUAAUACGUAGGGUGCAAGCGUUAAUCGGAAUUACUGGGCGUAAAGCGUGUGUAGGCGGUUCGGAAAGAAAGAUGUGAAAUCCCAGGGCUCAACCUUGGAACUGCAUUUUUAACUGCCGAGCUAGAGUAUGUCAGAGGGGGGUAGAAUUCCACGUGUAGCAGUGAAAUGCGUAGAUAUGUGGAGGAAUACCGAUGGCGAAGGCAGCCCCUGGAUAAGUACUGACGCUCAGACACGAAAGCGUGGGGAGCAAACAGGAUUAGAUACCCUGGUAGGCGUAGU
rnacentral:rRNA from 1 species